UACGUAGGGUCCAAGCGUUGUCCGGAUUUAUUGGGCGUAAAGAGCUCGUAGGCGGUUCGGUAAGUCGGAUGUGAAAACUCAGGGCUCAACCCGGAGACGCCAUCCGAUACUGCUGUGACUUGAGUCUGGUAGGGGAACACGGAAUACCUGGUGUAGCGGUGAAAUGCGCAGAUAUCAGGUGGAACACCGAUUGCGAAGGCAGCUCGCUGGGACGUGACUGACGCUGAGACGCGAAAGCGUGGGGAGCAAACAGG
rnacentral:rRNA from 1 species